ensembl:snoRNA SNORA63 Small nucleolar RNA SNORA63
UAGCAGGAUUGUUACAGUGCAGCUUGUGUGGUGCUGUGUUGUCGUUCCCCCUGCAUACAGAAAUCUGUUUCCAGCUAUCCCUGUCUGUCCAAAUCCCCUGCCAACCAGGGACGCACGGUCUCAGACAC